rnacentral:lncRNA from 1 species
GCUAUUUGGUAAAGCUGAAAAUCUGAUGUGCAUUUCUUUCUGCUUAUAAAUAGGCACCACCAUUUCCUUAAUUCACAAGUUUGGAAGCCCAAAAAAUACCCCAAGCUUCUAGAUCUGAAAUUCAGAUCUGAACCUUAGAUCUUAGCAUUCUUCAAUAGAAAACCAACAAAAAACAAUCUAAAACUGCAGAUAACCAAAGAAAAGCUAUUGUUUGAUUGGAAUUCUGUGUGAAUUUUAUCUUCUAGUUAUUUCCAUACAUUUUAGUUUAUUUUCAGAUCAUUCAAAGUUUUGGGGGGUAUUGUUGAUUGAUUCUGAGGGAAUUUGGGGUUCAAGCAGGACUGUUUUAGGCUGUGUCUACCAUUUGGUAAUUUCAAAAAUGGUUCCAGUCAAGUUUUGAGUUGGUCUGAGUGGUUUCGAAUAGUUUUGGUCUAAUAUUGGGUUCAUUCGGGGUCAUUGGGAUUUUUCGAUCCUAUACUGAAGUGGUUUAUUACUAUUGCUCCAUUUCAAAACAUUUAAGGGUUGAUUUGAAGUUGGAAUCAAUGUAAUUGAAUUUAAUUUUUAUUUCUUUGAGGCUAGUGAAAAGGCCCUAGGUGAUUUGGGAAUUUAGUUAAUGCAUUCAGGGAUUGUUGAUUGAUUUUCUGAUUUUGUCUGAUUUCUAAGUUCCUUCUGGAUCGUCAUAAACAUUUUUGGGCUGUUAUUUGGUUGCUGCUCGCUUUGUUUCUGACUUCUUCUUCUUGUUGAAUUUCUGCACCCAGGUACACUUCUCUGAUUGUUUCAUGUAGCUCCUCAAUUGAAGUGAAAUGGAAAUUUCCCACAACUCUAUUCUUGCACUCAGGUACACUUCUCUGAUUGUUUCAUGUAGCUCCUCAAUUGAAGUGAAAUGGAAAUUGUCCUCAACUCUAUUCCAGAUGAUUGCGUGAUAUUGUGUCUAAUGUAGUUUAGUUUGUUUAGUUUUCUAGUUGUUGUUAUUAUAUAUAUUUAAAUUGAGACAUUGGACUGACUUCAUAAAUUGUGGUGUUGUUUAAGUGGUCUUCUUAACUUUGUGGUGUUUUCCAAUCAUGUUGGUUUAACAUUUGAAGUCAUUUGGCUUGGUUGGCAGUGGUAUAGCCAUAGAUGUUAUAGUAUUGUUCUAAUGGCGUUAGGCUUUUAGUAAUAAAGGAGUAUUGCUUGUUUUUAUCAGCGCCAUCAUGUUUAUAAUUGCAAGGAUUUGUGUGGUUUUAUUUGAAAACAAUUGCCCUGUUUGUAUUUGUUAAUGAAGU